AUGCUCUAAUCAUUCAGCCAAUUGUGUUAUCAAAUUUGUCCAAAAGGAUCCAAUUUGAGGCCCAAAGCGUAGAAGCUCAAAGAAACCUUCAGAUCAGCCCACAAGAAAAUCUAGCAUCAUCCCAAACUCAUUUGAAACCCUACAAUGAAAGCAAUCACUCUUCCCUUUCUCUUAUCUGUACAGUAUCCUUUUCCAAACUAAGUCAAACGAUCUUCAACGAAGGACAGAGGUCAUCAGUUCCAUCUUGGUGAAAUUUUCAUCUCUUUCUUCUGGAAAAAUAUAGUUACCCUCUGUUCUCUUCCUCUUUGAUGAGACGUUAAUCUCCAUCUUAACCAACAUAUAUUGUUAUGCCAAUUCUAGAAAUAAAAUUCUUUUCUCUUGUGUUUUUUAAAUUUCUCCAUCGUUCUUCUCUAUCAAAAGAUUUGGUCAAACGAGAGUCUCACUUUAGGACUCGACGUCACCGCAAGACCUGAAGCGUGUAUCUACAUUUUUGUUCGUGCCUUUCUCUCUCGAAAUACAUUCGAACAGAAAUGAAUGACGGACUAGGAGGAGUGAAGGAUAUUCUAUUUUUCUAUCUUUGCUAAUUAAUUUUUGUGCAUCUCUUAUGUGUUUUUGUCUACUGUUAACUACUACUUGUUAUAUAUAUAUUUUAUUGCUUGUUUUGUAUGA